GAUGAACGCUGGCGGCGUGCCUAAUACAUGCAAGUCGAGCGAACAGACGAGGAGCUUGCUCCUCUGACGUUAGCGGCGGACGGGUGAGUAACACGUGUAUAACCUACCUAUAAGACUGAGAUAACUUCGGGAAACGGGAGCUAAUACCGGAUAAUAUAUUGAACCGCAUGGGUCAAUAGUGAAAUACGGUUGUUGUGUCACUAAUAGAUGGAUCCGUGCCGCAUUAUCUAGUUGUUCAGUUAACGGCUUACCAAGGCGACGAUGCGUAGCCGACCUGAGAGGGUGAUCGGCGACAUUGGAAGGGCGACACCGACCUGAGUACUAAGGGAGGGAGCAGUAUCGUAUCUUCCGCAAUGGGCGAAAGCCUGACGGAGCGACGCCGCGUGAGUGAUGAAGGUGUUCGGAUCGUAAAAAUCUGUUAUUAGGGAAGAACAAAUGUGUAAGUAAAUAUGCACGUCUUGACGGUAACUAAUCAGAAAGCCACGGCUAACUACGUG
rnacentral:rRNA from 1 species